AGCAAAAGUUGGCAAGGCAAGACCUCACCGCCUGGAUCUGGACGGCACAUAAGAGAUCGGACGGCGUCCGAUAGCCACAGUGCAGAGUACCCCGAGCUGGCCGAGUUCAUAUAAGACGCAGUACCCAUGCCCGAUCCCUUCCUCAGUCCCUCCCUCUCCCACCCCAAACCUCCACUGGGUUCCCACUCCAUGCGGCUCUGAAAUCUCCCAUACAUACUGCGCCCUGGAGCUGUGGCUCGGCGUCACCACCACCGCACCGCCUCUCGCGCGCGUACGUCGCCGGCCGCCGCCGCGGUCCCCGUUGUACCUCAUGGCGUCGCGGCUGCCUCCACCCCGAUGGCGGUCUUGGACACUGGUAUUUGAGAUAGACAGGACCAACUGCAAGGCAGCCGAGCCUCGCGGGCAGGAGGAGUUGCACACACAUGGAGAGUUCAGACCGAGAGGAUUCUGGCCACGGGGAGCACCGUCGGCGCUGAUUCGCCCAUAGCAAAAAUAUGGUGUUAUCCUGAUUGAGCUUUUCUUCUACCCACCAUCCUCCCCCUUCGUUUCCUCCUCUUCUUGCUGCGUUGUUUGGGUCUUCUUGACCUUGCAAGACCUUUUCUUGACCUUGUAAGACCCAACAAUGCCACAUUUCCCCUCACGUUCUUCAUCUUCUUAUUCCACCUCCUUUCCCUGGCCAUGUUCCUUUUCACCCCUCUCUCUUCCAUCUUUCUUCCAUCUAUCCCUCCUGAGCUACAUUUUCUUAUAGUUGGAUUUUUUAUAUUCAAAGUAUUGGGAACAAGAUGAUACCAUGGAGUGACAAGUGAAGGAGAUUCUACCUCCUUUGUCAUACACGUGUGUAGAUUCAUCAUCCCCACGUUGUAUUUUCCUCUUUUGUUUUGGUUGUAGAGAGUAAAGUUGAUCAGAUACAAAAGCACGGACCUUGUCGCCAUAAUGCUCAUGCACGUGGAGUAGGAGCCUACAUGUAAUUGAGCAUGUUUAUGUAUGCCAAUGUUGUAAUGAGUUUGCUAUUCCUGCUUGAAUAGAAACAUUUUGAUGC